AGCGAACGCUGACGGCAGGCCUAACACAUGCAAGUCGAACGGAUCCUUCGGGAUUAGUGGCGGACGGGUGAGUAACACGUGGGAACGUGCCCUUUGGUUCGGAACAACUCAGGGAAACUUGAGCUAAUACCGGAUGUGCCCUUCGGGGGAAAGAUUUAUCGCCAUUGGAGCGGCCCGCGUCUGAUUAGCUAGUUGGGGAGGUAAAGGCUCACCAAGGCGACGAUCAGUAGCUGGUCUGAGAGGAUGAUCAGCCACAUUGGGACUGAGACACGGCCCAAACUCCUACGGGAGGCAGCAGUGGGGAAUCUUGCGCAAUGGGCGAAAGCCUGACGCAGCCAUGCCGCGUGAAUGAUGAAGGUCUUAGGAUUGUAAAAUUCUUUCACUGGGGACGAUAAUGACGGUACCCGGAGAAGAAGCCCCGGCUAACUUCGUGUCAGCCGCCGCCGUAACAC
rnacentral:rRNA from 1 species